GAGAGUAUAGCUCAGUAGUAGAGUGCACGCUUAGCAUGCAUGAGGUCCUGGGUUCAAUCCCUAUGUACCUCCA
rnacentral:tRNA from 1 species